rnacentral:RNase_P_RNA from 1 species
GAAGCAAGCCGGGCAAUCGCUUUGAUUGAAAAAUCUAAGAGGAAAGUCCGAACACCGAAGGGCAGCGAGCCGGAUAACGUCCGGGCAUUUGAUUCUCACGGAAUCGGAUGACGACAAGUGCAACAGAGAGCAGACCAGCCUGAAAAGGUGAUGGGUGAAACGACGCGGUAAGAGCGCGUCAGCGCGUUUGGUAACAAAUGCGGCUGGGUAAACUCCUCGCGGUGCAAGACCAAAUAGAAAAACGUUUAAUAACGGGUUGCCCGCCCGUUUAGUUCGAAGCGAUUCGGACGGCGUUUUCGGGUAGGUCGCUUGAGCGGUUCGGUAACGGAUCGCCUAGAUGAAUGAUUGCCAUCUGCUUUUUGCAGAUACAAAAUUCGGCUUACAGGUUUGCAUUCAUU